rnacentral:rRNA from 1 species
ACCUACGGGACGCAGCAGUGGGGAAUAUUGCACAAUGGGGGGAACCCUGAUGCAGCAAUGCCGCGUGGGUGAAGAAGCACUCCGGUGCGUAAAGCCCUUCAGCAGGGAAGAAAAUGACAGUACCUGGACAAGAAGCCCCGGCUAACUACGUGCCAGCAGCCGCGGUAAUACGUAGGGGGCAAGCGUUAUCCGGAUUUACUGGGUGUAAAGGGAGCGUAGGCGGCAGGGCAAGCCUGAUGUGAAAGCCCGGGGCUCAACCCCGGGACUGCAUUGGGAACUGCCCCGCUCGAGUGCCGGAGGGGCAG